CCUACGGGAGGCAGCAGUGAGGAAUAUUGGUCAAUGGGCGCGAGCCUGAACCAGCCAAGUAGCGUGAAGGAUGACUGCCCUACGGGUUGUAAACUUCUUUUAUAUGGGAAUAAAGUGUAGCACGUGUGCGUUUUUGUAUUUACCUUAUGAAUAAGGAUCGGCUAACUCCGUGCCAGUAGCCGCGGUAAUACGGAGGAUCCGAGCGUUAUCCGGAUUUAUUGGGUUUAAAGGGAGCGUAGGUGGGUUGUUAAGUCAGUUGUGAAAGUUUGCGGCUCAACCGUAAAAUUGCAAUUGAUACUGGCAGUCUUGAGUACAGUAGAGGUGGGCGGAAUUCGUGGUGUAGCGGUGAAAUGCUUAGAUAUCACGAAGAACUCCGAUUGCGAAGGCAGCUUACUGGACUGCAACUGACAUUGAUGCUCGAAAGUGUGGGUAUCAAACAGGAUUAGAUACCCUGGUAGUC
rnacentral:rRNA from 1 species